CCCCGCUGCCCCCCGGGCGGAGGUUGUGCCUCGAAGCGGCCCGCCCUUGUGGUGAGGGACGCGGCGGGUAACGGGGUUUGCCUGCCUCCCCCUCGGGGGACCCUCGGCCCCGCGGGGUGCUGCCGGCUGGGCGCCUCCCGCCUCGGGGCUCCGGCGGGUCUGGUGCCCGGCUCCGUCCUUGGCCUGCCGGCCGCCGCGGGGCAGCGGCGUCGCGCCCGUUGGUCCUCUCCCUCGGCCCCUGCUUCCCCUUCCAUUGCCCGUCUUCGUUCCCACCUUUGUGUCCCGAGCUGACGUAACCCGGGUCAGUUUUGCCGCUUCUUUUGCCAUUCAGGGCAGCAGCGAGAUGACUGCUGUGACCCAAAAGUCUGCUUUCUGUUUUUUUUUUAAUUACUAUUUUUUGGCCGCUGCUUGACAUGACUGAUGGCAGCAGCGUGAGCCAGCCCUCGGCAGAUUCACUUUCCGAAAUGGAAAGCUGUCUGGUUUAAAGACCUCUGACUCAUCAAGGGAACAAACAAUUCGAUCACGUGCGAGGGCUCAGAAACGCCCAAAUGCUGAAGGACCCGGGUGAGUCUGGGGAGGCCUCGGCGGGAGGCGCGACUGGGUCCUUCCAAACUGUCUCGUAGGUGAUGGCUGCCGCCGUGGGGUACGCGCGCCUCGAGGAGAAGCAGCUCCCCAGCCAAGGGGGCACUGCGACCUGGAAGCCCAGGAAAGAAUGUUUACCGAAGAAUAUUCCAAAUAUUGCUGAUAGCGAGGCUCAAGAAAGUGAAUUCUCUGAUAUAUCUCACUAUGAAAAAGAUGUUAGUGGAUCUUCAGUUGAAUCUGCUCACUUCUGCUCUGAUCUGGAAGACUGGGAUGGUGAAGCAUCCAGUGUGCCUGGGGCUGCAGUUUUUCCUGAGCUUCAAACUGCUGCUGAGUAUGAGGUGGAGGAUUGGGAUAAAGAGUUGGAAGAUUCUGAAUUUAAUCCUUAUGAUGCUGGCGAUCUCCACUGUGGAAGCUUUCAGGAAAAUAAUCUUUUGGCCUCAUAUUCAUGGCGAGAGGAUUCAGUGUACAACCCAGGGUGUCACCACGCAGCUUGUGUUGCUUUUACAUCGCCAAUUAGAAUGACUGAGACUGGCCAGUUUGAUGAUGCUGAAGAAUGAGGUUGCCCCAGGUCAGAACUAAAUUUGGCUUCUGAGUUGGACUGUGUUCUUCACUGAAUAAGUCAUGUCAAGCGCUUUGGCUUGCUUGCAGAAUUGUGUAUGAGGUCAGAAGUGCUGCACCAUCUCUGAAGUUUUUCUUAGGCUGUUCCUGAGGUGUAUGUAAGCUGGCCAUGCUUGACCUCUAGGAACCAGAGUGCAGGUGCUGGCUGUAAGGAGUCAUUCGUUUCUGGACUGCUCUUUGUGUUAUAUAGCUCUACAUUGUUGCUGAUGGACUGCUUGGGAGGAAGUAUUUGAUUUCUAAACAUCAGCUUGAUUGCCAAGUGUAGCCAGUUUUAUACAGGCUGACACACUGGGAUCAGCAUGUUAACUUGUAGUUUUCUUUCCUUUCCAUUUGAUGCUAUCAGAUUGGUUCAGAUAGCUUUAAAAACUCUUCUUCCUUUCAACUCCUGUAUUGUAAUGCUAUGUUGCAGUUUCUCACUCCCUAUCUAAUUCUGGUGUUUGACAAAAUUAGCCAUGACGCAUACAGAAUGAAUUGUUUUAUUUCUAUUUUUUUAUGCCUUUCAGUAUGAAUGAGUUCUAAGCAUUUGAUACACAUUUUGCUCUUACACUUGUGGACAUUAAUGAGGAUUGGAUAGUUGGGCCUGCUGUACCUAGUAAGAAUGCUGGGUGUUUAAGGCUCUGCCUUCCAGCAGAGCUUUCUGCACAUCAGACUUUCUUGUAUUUGGGUGUAUUGCCCUCCAGUCUUACAGUUGUCUUUAUGGCAUCCUCAUGUGAUGUCAGACAUGUAAUGAGGAAGAAAAUAUCAGUGCUUAUAUAGUGUCUUGCAGUAUAUGAUCUCAGCGUGUCCUGCAGAAAGUGUCAUGAACCUUAAUUCACUGCUGAUAUUUUUGUUGUGGUGGUGUUUGUGUUUUGAUAAGUGAGGAAAUGGCAACACAAAAUAUCUGCGAAAUGCCUCUUAAGGGAACAGCUGGAACUAGAACACUAUCCCCCUUGCCCUUGCUUUGGAGUUAAAGGAAAUGUUCUCAAAUGAAGUAUGUAAGUGGAUUGAGUGGCUGAUSGCUUAAGUAAUGUUUCAUUAAUAACUUUUCUUUCAAGAACUUUAAGAUGUUGUGUUUUGACACUGUUGAUACUGAAGCACAGUAGCCAUGUUUGUUUAUUCUCAGGCAAGGAGUUAACGUUUAGCAUUGGAAGAUUAUUUGUUUUUUAAUCAUUCAGUACAUGAGACUGAAAUAAUUUGAAAUAUUAGUUUGGAAGGAGGAAGUGAAUGACACAGUAAUAUUUCCUUAAUCUUUUCCUUGAGAGUAGAGGAGGACAAGAGCUUGGAAGAGUCUUUUCUGGUGCAUUGCAGCUUCUGGUUAAAUACUAGUACCUAGCAAACAAUCCAAGUAAAGGCUGGAAGCCUAGAGGUGAGGUUGCAGCGAAGACAAUUUGUUCUUUUAUUCCUGUGUGAUGGAGUGCUCUAAGGAGUAAUAUUUCCAUCAGAAGUUACUUCAGCAUGCUUCCAGGACACAUGCAUAUACAGCAAAAGCACACUCUAACUUUGUUCUUAGCCUUGCACAGCAGGAAAGUACUAGCUGUGCUCUCUGGCCUAGGAGGUGGGUUUUGUUCUAUGCCUGACUGCUGCGUGUUAGAGACAGUUCACUGCUCCUUAUGAUGAGUGGAGGUCUGCAUUUUAGUUAGGAGCUGCAUUUGCCUCUGUGGAACAGAAGUAAGAAUUGACUGUGCCAGACUCUUCAGGUUUGGAUAUAUAGCAGCGUCUUUCUCUUUCUAGAAAACAGAAAUGAAACUCAGAGUGUAACUAGGACUGACCACCAACUGAUUAAAGUUGCUGCUCUGCAUUUAUAAAUGCACUAUAAAUAAAUAUAUAUUGAGUACAGAUUAGUUUUGAAGU
rnacentral:lncRNA from 1 species